rnacentral:rRNA from 1 species
GACGAACGCUGGCGGCGUGCCUAAUACAUGCAAGUUGAGCGCUGAAGGUUGGUACUUGUACCGACUGGAUGAGCAGCGAACGGGUGAGUAACGCGUGGGGAAUCCGCCUUUGAGCGGGGGACAACAUUUGGAAACGAAUGCUAAUACCGCAUAAAAACUUUAAACACAAGUUUUAAGUCUGAAAGAUGCAAUUGCAUCACUCAAAGAUGAUCCCGCGUUGUAUUAGCUAGUUGGUGAGGUAAAGGCUCACCAAGGCGAUGAUACAUAGCCGACCUGAGAGGGUGAUCGGCCACAUUGGGACUGAGACACGGCCCAAACUCCUACGGGAGGCAGCAGUAGGGAAUCUUCGGCAAUGGACGAAAGUCUGACCGAGCAACGCCGCGUGAGUGAAGAAGGUUUUCGGAUCGUAAAACUCUGUUGGUAGAGAAGAACGUUGGUGAGAGUGGAAAGCUCAUCAAGUGACGGUAACUACCCAGAAAGGGACGGCUAACUACGUG